CGACUAGCUGGGGUAUCCUGGGUUCUCAAGGCCAGGUGGUCUACGAUGGGUGUCGGUGGUCCUGACCAUGUAUCCGGUGCGGUCUCAGACCCGUAAGUGGACCGUAUGUCUUGCUGAUGCCAUCCGUGGGGCUUCUCAGGGGAUCGGUUGGUCGUCCGUUUACUGUGAUGGUGUGGGGGAUGCCCUCUAUAGGGCUAAUCGUCAGAAGUCGCGGUGGUCGUGGAUGUGAUGGCGUUGUCUGGUGGGUGUCUGGGCGGGGGACUCGAGUGGAUUGCCCCGUGGGCCUUGGGUGAGGGGUGGU